rnacentral:rRNA from 1 species
UACGUAGGGACCGAGCGUUGUCCGGAAUCAUUGGGCGUAAAGAGCGUGUAGGCGGCUUGCUAAGUCUUGCGUGAAAUCUCGGGGCUCAACCCCGAGCGGUCGUGGGAAACUGGCAGGCUAGAGUGCGGGAGAGGAGAAUGGAAUUCCUGGUGUAGCGGUGAAAUGCGCAGAUAUCAGGAGGAACACCAGUGGCGAAGGCGGCUUCCUGGACACCAACUGACGCUGAGACGCGAAAGCGUGGGGAGCAAACAGG